GUUGCAUUCAGUUCAAACCCAUGAUUCAGCAAUAAUAGAGGCCCAUCAGUGUUUUCAAUAGCUCUGUUUUUCUUGGUUGUCCUCACCUAUUAAACACCUUGCCCUCUCUCUCAACUCUCUUCUUUGUAUUUUCCCCUCGCAGUUCAUGAAGCGGUUCACAGCUAUGGAACGUCAUUGCCAUUUUACCUUCCUGUUCGCUCAUUUAUCUCUGAGGAAAACAAGAUCAUGGAUGGCUGCUUCUGCAUCUUCUGUAGGUUCUGUUUUCCAUAGCUGUUGACAUGACUAAGGAACUCUAGGAGAGACUGUCUGUUAACGAUCUGCAAGCCUUGUAAAACUGGAACAUGGGGUAAAAUAAAAGUGGGCCGAAUACCGAUCCCUGCGGAAUACCACUUGGAAAUCAGAUCCAAACACGCUUGACUGACGUCUUACCCAUAUUCCCACCGCCGGGCACCUGUCUGAUUCUGGCACUGUUUUCCCCUCCACAUUUCAUGGUUAAAUUGUACUGAUCCCUGUGAGAGCCGCGCAGUAAUGGCCCAUGAAGAGAAACUGUCUGAAGUAACCAGCCAACAACUGCGGCCAGUUCACCCUGUAGGCCAUUUAUACAGACUUCAUCAAAACAUUGUUUUCCAAUGAGACAAGAACAACUUGAGCUGUAUCUGAAAAGGGGGGACAUUCAAAGGUGGAGGAGAUGGCGAGCACUUAAAGAGGAUAAAGGAAUCCAUUCGAUAUUGUUUGGAACCUUUGGUUUUCGUGUGUCGGUAAAUAAGAGCAGGGCACGGCCUCUCCGGUGAAUGCUCUUUAGUUCGGACAGAUAAUGAGAGAACACUCUACAUACACACACAGGACCGUGUUGAGCCACUUUAAGGUAAUGUUUGAGUGCUCAAAACACCACACACAUGCACUACGGCUUUAUGUAGACACACA